AUGAAGUGGUGGAAGCUCAAGGGGGAGGUAGCUCAGGCGUUCAAGGAGAGGGUCAUUAGGGAGGGCCCUUGGGAGGAAGGAGGGGAUGCGGACAAUGUGUGGAUGAAGAUGGCGACUUGCAUUCGUAAGGUGGCCUCGGAGGAGUGUGGAGUGUCCAGGGGAUGGAGAAGCGAAGAUAAGGAUACCUGGUGGUGGAAUGAUGAUGUCCAGAAGGCAAUUAAAGAGAAGAAAGAUUGCUUUAGACGCCUAUACUUGGAUAGGAGUGCAGUCAACAUAGAAAAGUACAAGAUGGCGAAGAAGGCCGCAAAGCGAGCUGUCAGUGAAGCAAGGGGUCGGGCAUAUGAGGAUCUCUACCAACGGUUAGGCACGAAGGAAGGCGAAAGGGACAUCUAUAAGAUGGCCAAGAUCCGAGAGAGAGGAAGACGAGGGAUAUUGGCCAAGUCAAAUGCAUCAAGGACGGAGCAGACCAACUCUUGGUGA
rnacentral:rRNA from 1 species